AUUGAACGCUGGCGGCAUGCCUUACACAUGCAAGUCGAACGGCAGCACGGGAGCAAUCCUGGUGGCGAGUGGCGAACGGGUGAGUAAAGUAUCGGAACGUGCCCAGUCGUGGGGGAUAACGUAGCGAAAGUUACGCUAAUACCGCAUACGAUCUAUGGAUGAAAGCGGGGAAUCGCAAGACCUCGCGCGAUUGGAGCGGCCGAUAUCAGAUUAGGUAGUUGGUGGGGUAAAGGCUCACCAAGCCGACGAUCUGUAGCUGGUCUGAGAGGACGACCAGCCACACUGGGACUGAGACACGGCCCAGACUCCUACGGGAGGCAGCAGUGGGGAAUGUUGGACAAUGGGCGAAAGCCUGAUCCAGCCAUGCCGCGUGCAGGAUGAAGGCCUUCGGGUUGUAAACUGCUUUUGUACGGAACGAAAAGGUUUGGCCUAAUAAGCUGAGCUCAUGACGGUACCGUAAGAAUAAGCACCGGCUAACUACGUGCCAGCCGCCGCGGUAA
rnacentral:rRNA from 1 species